AGGAAGGAAGGAAGGAAGGAAGGAAGGAAGGAAAAGAGAAAGCCACUUUCUUUCCUUCCUUCCUUCCUUCCUUCCUUCCUUCCU